GAUUCUACCCUCUUGCUUGAACCUUCCUGCUCAUCUUCCUGCUCUUUUGCCUGCGUGGAGAGCUUCGUCCCACUCCUGUUUCUGGCCCUCCUGCACCAGGUUGCAUCCAGGAGGAUGCCUGGACCUGGGUUGAUCGACAUCUCCAGCAGUACCCUUCUCAACCCCAGCAGCACAGUUUCGCCAGGUCCAGGCAGCAUGGCUUGCCUGCGCCCGUCCCAAACUCAUUUUGGGAAGCAUUGACUCUCCCGUGCUGUCAGGGCUGAAAUGAACAUGUUUGAAGGAAAGCAGCACCAAGAAGACGGAAUGCAUAGGCAGCUAUUAGAAAAGCACUGUUAGUGCCCAAGUCAGGAAAUGCAGCUGUUAAAUCCCGAGCCAUACUGGAGCAGAGGUAUUUCAGAUGAAGCUGCCUUACAUCCCUUAACCCUUCCUCCUCUGGGAGAGAUGGAAAUUCUACUGGGAAGCCCUGGCAGGGCUUAGCACUGUCAGCACAUGAGCUCCCUGGCUGCCACCUCCUUAUUGGGCUGGAGGCACACUGAGGCUGGCAGCUGGCAAAAAAAAAAAAAAGAAGAAGAAAAAAACAAACCACAGGAAUCCCACUCCUGAGGAAUCUGGUCAUUUCAAGGUUCCCCUAUAGAUUCACAGGUUUUAAAGGCCGGGAGGGACAAUUACAUUCUGACAAGUACAUUCUGGUGCAACACAGUCCAUUGAAUUUCUCUGAGUGUUGCUGGUGCUCAGGCAGAUGAAAUGAGUUUGUACUCCUUAGUGUGCUCUCCUUAGCUCGUCUCUCAGACAUCCCCCCUUACCGCUUAUUGUCUCCUAUUCAACACAGCAUGUGUGCAUGGGUGUGUUCUCAGGUUUUCCUGAAGCAGCACCCCAACAGCAGCACACAUCUCCUGCAGCUGCCCCUGUUCCAUGCCCAGAGGUGUCUACAACUCUGAGUAUCCCAACUAUCACAGCUAUGAGGGAUGUGGUGCUCCCCAAACUGUUUUCAUUGCAGCUUGCCUUGUGUUACAGUGCAGGGAGCAGGCAGAGCGCAGGAAUCCUCCCCCAAGCCUGGAGAUGGCAGAGCAGAAACAAUGCCUAAAGGAGGGCUGACGCUUGCUGUACAACUGACCUGAAGUGCAUAACUUGUUGGAAGUCAAUAUGCAACAAGUGAGGAUCUGCACCCCUACCAAUUGGAAAGUGCCAGAGCACCUCCAGUUUUACCUGAAAUCUUCAAAUGUGUGUUGUCACCAUAUCAGAGCCUCACCUCUCAGCCAAGCAGCUGUUAUUCCUUUUUUUGGUCUGUUUAUUUACUUGCCUACUCGUUUAGAGCAAAUGUCUUCUAGCUGUUCUAGCUGGGCAGCAAAGCUUGAAGACUCAGGGAGCAAAUAAAAGGAACUCCAACUCUAUUAUUUAAAAAGAAAACAAAAUACAUCUUAUGAUCUGCUAAGCGUGUCUCCCUGUCUGCAGCAGGCCUGGCUGGUGCUUCUGGACUGAUUGGUUGGCAGUGCUGCCAUUUCUAACAGCUUUGCAGCCUUCCCACAGGAGUGGUACGGUGGUUGAUAUGUCUCAGGCUGUGUUUCAGCCUGCUGCUGCCUUUAAAAUGGUUGAAAGUCCUUAGCAUAGGGAGCAGAGGUGCCUAAAAAUACCCUCCGUGUUGUGCCCUCUUUUCCACAGCUGCAAUUCACUCCCCAUUAUAAACAAUGUGAUAACUUAAUUCUGAUGGGUCGACUACGGUGCUUUAGUGUGCUAUAAAACACAAAUUUAGGCAGCGCAUAAAAUAAGCUUUUCCUGCCAUAUGACACAAACCACAACUGUCUGGCAUGGACACACAAGCCAGAAUCUGAAAGAAAGCAAAGCACAAAGCCAGACGCGAUCUUUGAUCAUAUGUUGUUUAAAAUUAACAGCACAGAUCAUAACCACACUUAAAUAACACAUCUGUCUGGGGGGUUAGAUAGUACCGCACAAUAUGUUCUUUUAAUUCAUUAUGCAUUUGAAUCCCUCCCAAGUAACAGGUGGUUUUCUGACAACACGGUGUGCCAAAAAAUGCUGGAGAAAGGGCUGGCUGAUUGUUAUCCUUGGAGGUGAGGAAGCACAGGUUCCUGGAGAGCAGUGAGCUCUGGUUCCCUUAACUCUUUUGCUGCUGGCUCUCCAUCAACUCCUGCAGUAAUUACUGCCCUGCCUGAAUUGUAGCACCUGCCUUCACCUCUCUGGGUUUGCUCUCCAGCUCUUAGACUGUACUGUGGGGCAGAAGCUGUGUCUCAAGACAGGGCAGUAACGGGAGCGUGGCUGGAGCUGUGCUUCCGGAGAUGGGAACCUGCUGCCCAAGGGAUUCUGGAUCACGUUCCAGUGGUGGGACUGAAUGAGCAUGCUCUUCUUCAGAGCAGGUGUCUAACAACCUUAGAGACCCUUUAUGACCACCUGGAAGGAAAUGGCACCUUGAGAGGAGGAAUCCUCCCAGGCCAUAACUAUCCAUCUCAAACAUGACUUGUUUGUCCCCAUGAACUGUGAAGUGAGUGAUGAGCUCAGAUGUUCAUGUUCACACUGCAGACAGGUUUUAGAAGGGUGUGUCCCACCCAAGCUGUUCAUAUACUGCUCAGGGCUGUGUCAACAGAGUCCUGCAUUGCCCCCUGCCCAGAGCAUGAUUUAAGGGCAUGUGGACAAGAGGCUGGGUUCCCCUGCCCCUGCCCCCCACAUGGCGUUCCACUGAACAGUGACCAUCACACGUGGAGAAGAGACUGCACAGAUGAGCCAGCCAUAGCAUGAGGCAUGGACAUGAUUAAUGGCACCUCAUUACACCUGACAGCAACUGCUAAACCUUACGAAAUUAGUCACAUCUUUUAAAAAUCUAGCUGCAGUGUCUGGAGCCCUGUACUGAUGAAUUCCCAGGCUGGCUGCACACUGUGGCCUUGCUUGGGCUGCCAAGGUAGAGCCCAGCUGAAUGGAGAAGGAAGGACUUGUGAGAAGAAUCCUGUCUUCAAUCCUUGCCCAGUGAGGAGUCCCUGUGAGAAAGGACUGGAGAACACGGCCUGUGGCAAGAUCUGCAUCCCAAAUGAAGCUGAAUCUCACACCAGAUGAAAGAGAAAAAAUCACGCGUGUUAAAUGGCUCAGCCUCACAAGGACACUUCCAAAUUGCCUGCUGCUCUGCCAGAUCCAACCCCACAAGAAUGGCUGUGGUGACAAUCCCCCUCUUAUAAGGUCCUGCCCAAGAAACCAGUCCCUUGCUCUACUGCCUCACUCAGGUGGGAAGGGUUCGUUGUGCUUGCAGCUCAUGGAGCUGGAGGGAGCAGCUCCUUGUCUUCGACUUGCCCUGGACUGGCUCAAGGGUCCCUGCUCCCACAGCCUCCUCUGUUUCCUAAGGGAAAAUGUACAAACUAGUGUCAGAGAAAUAUAUGUGGGGAUCACCUCUUUGACCAUGAGGUCUUAGAGUUAGUAUUCUUCUUUCUCAUUCAAUAAAUAUAUACAUUUUUCCUGGUAAACAGGACUAGAUUGUAAAGAGAAGUGAUGGAUGAUAUUUCCAACCCAUAUGCCUUACAGAGAGGGUGACCAAGAGCCUUCUGCAUGGAAUAGCAAAUCUCCUCAGGCACAAAUGGGGAUAGAGCACUUUGGGUGAGAUUCUUUAGCUGUUAUGAAAAAUGAAGGAUUUCAGAAAUGUGUCUCCUUUUUCAAGGAACAAAACUAGGACCAUGCUCAGUUCUGCCAGAAAGAAGCAUGCAAAGUGAAGAAGCUCAAUGUAAAAUUUCUAAGCUCUGGAGAGAAGUGGGAUUUUAAAUGUACCCCUAUGCUCCAUCCUCAGGGUUUUCCCAUGUGGAGGCUCCAGAUGGCCGCUUGCUCAGCACACUGGUUUUUGCAGCUCGGAGGUGUGUGUGGGUUAGGGACGAAUGCCAUGAUCUUAAAAACUGUGGGCCUAGCUGUACAUUUCCCUUGUCUGCCUGAUGAGGUGAGGGAGAGGGACACAGGAAUCAGAGCAGACCCAAGCCCUACCCUUCACGGAUGAUCCCUGCUGGUACCAGGCCCAUGAGAAGACUGGGCUUUUGUCCCUGUGUCAGAUUUGUUGAUGUAAAGUGCCUACCCAGCUCCUGGGCAGUGAGCUUUUAUCUCCACAGGGCUCUCUGCUUCUCCAAGUAGAUGUAUCUACUCUCCUGCCGUUAGCUCGAGGCUCUCUCAUAUGGCAAGCACCAAGGCACAUACGUGCACCCGGCACAGCUUCUUUCUUGGACCUGGUCCUUACUUUUCAGGGACAACAUGCCAUUUGCUGAUGCACCUCGAGCUCUGCAGGUGACUCAAGAGUGUGGAGCUGGCCUCUGCUUUCGUUCAGCAUCACUGAGAGGCAGCCAUUCUCUGCAGACAUUGGUGCGCUGCUGUGCUAAAUGCACCAAAAAGAAAUGGCUUGAGAGCAGAGAGGACUUAAAACUGUGCAGGUUUGGGGCUUUUUUCCCAUUUAAAAUUUUGUAAUAUUUCACUGCCAGCACUGAAUAAUUAUUUCAAAGGAGGAAUUGAAAAAUGUAUUAUUUUACAGCUUGUAAGUAAACAGAGAAAUGGCUCCAUGCUAUGUAUGGAGUGGCCUGAAGUCCUUGUUUUGUUUCUGUGGGACUUUGAGCAACUGCUGUGUUUAUUUUUUCCUGAUAAUCUCUCUAAUAACAUGGAAAAAGAAGGCACAGACUGUGCCUUUUUUCCUUUCUUUUUUGAGAAUUGAAAUAAUUUGUGUUUCUCUUCUGUGGAAUGAAUUUCCAAGCCAUAAUACUGCACGUUGAGUGUAUCUGGAAAGGAUGUUGCCUUGUUCGAUGAACUGAAUUGUGCACACAGUUGGAGGCUCUGACAGUGCCAGCAUCAGUGAAUGCAAGUUGCAUAAAAAAGAGGCAGCAUCAUUCAUGACACUAAUGAACAGUCCUUCCUCGUCUAUCAGAGAAAUCUUUCCCAGGGAUAACGAUUCUCCUAGCAUUUUCUUAGCCAUAAAAGAAGAGAUUGUGUUGGGUCUUUGGUUCUGCAUGAGACUAUCAGGAGGAUUCUUAGGCUGAGAACAGAAAUCAAUGUUUCUGUGAUACUGUAUUGGCUAAAUACUUAGACCAGAGAAAAAAGAUUUUGUUCUGACUGCACAUUGAACUUCUUGUUUUGCUUUGCUGUUACAAGAUUGUGAAAAUAGUGUGAAAUUUAAGGGUGCAUGUUUGAUUCUGAGAAAGUCUGCCAGCAAGUCUUGGUCAUUUAUUGCAACACAAUGUACCUGAUUCACCCAUAUAAUGCUACAGCUUUAAGUAACUGUAAGUUCAUUGAUUUCAGUGGAAUCUUGAGAGUAAAAGGGAAAAAGUGGUAAUUCAACUUUAAUGUAUUUCCUCAUUUUUCAUCAGGUAUUUAUUAGCCUUUAAGAUUCAUCCACUUUAAAUCUUUCUGAGUACUUGAAAAAAGUCUGCUGAGAUAUGACCAAAACCAAUAUGGAUAGCAGAAGAGGCUCUGGG
ensembl:lncRNA